AGCCAGUGAUGAAUAGAUUUUGCCAUAUGAUUGAGUGUUGAUUAUAACCCAACCGUUCCAUUAUUUCUGAGGUU
ensembl:snoRNA